rnacentral:rRNA from 1 species
UAGGGAAUCUUCCACAAUGGGCGCAAGCCUGAUGGAGCAACACCGCGUGAGUGAAGAAGGGUUUCGGCUCGUAAAACUCUGUUGUUAAAGAAGAACAUAUCUGAGAGUAACUGUUCAGGUAUUGACGGUAUUUAACCAGAAAGUCACGGCUAACUACGUGCCAA